rnacentral:ncRNA from 1 species
GGCUCGCUGUGAAAGUAUCGCAGCCUCUGGGGGAAACUUUAGAGUGAAAAUCGGGUUAAUUGCGGGAAGCCUAAGGAUGGAAAAUUCUUUCUAUGGUAAUCCGCAGCCACUCCCAAAAUAAGUGGGAAGGUUCAGAGACUAAUAAUCCGACUCCUAACUCUAAAAGUAUUUGGAUAAGGAGAUGAGAUAGUCCACGCUUCAUAGAAAUAUGGGG